ACUUUGUGUGCUUUCCAACAGUGUGGAAUUGUGAACUCCUAGAAAAUUCAGUAAGGAAUAAAUAGCUGUUUGUUUUUUUCAAUUAAAAUCAAUUUCAGGUAACAAAUUAUUGGUUCCCCAGAAUUAUGGGAUUCUCGUUGAAAUUGUAAUUUUUUACAGCUUGACUUUAUAGUGCUUCAUGUGUCUCCCCUGUUCACAAGAGUGUGGCAUAAAGUUCUUAGAUGACGAGGAAUGAACUAGUAAACUUGCUUUUAGAUGAAACACUUGAACUAACUAAACUCCACCUAACAGUAGUCUUGAAGAAUUGAAAUGGCCUCUCUCAUAUCUACCUCACUGUCAUUGCCGCCAUUCUACAUAGAACAGCCCUGUCUGGCAUUAAAGAUGAUGGUUGAUGCAACUUAAACAUCUGCUGGUGCUUUCUUCAGGCUUGGUCAUCUCAGCUGUACAUCACAAGCAGCCUGUAACGUGUAGUUACAUGUAACAUGUAGGGUUAGUUUUAGGGUUUUGUUUUUUUUUGUUUUUUUUUUUUUUUUUUGCCUGUUUACUUCUUUGUUUUUCCUUUAAAAUACCAUCAGUGUUCCUUUUUGGAAGGAGUUGCUUCCCGGUUGUUAUGUCUGUGGGAUAUUUUUAUCCAAGAAUCAAAUUGUUACUGAAUCUCUCUGAAACUCCAGGCAUAGUAGCACACUCUUAUAUAAUCCUACUCGAGAGGUGAAGGCAAGAGAAUCAAGACCAAGGUCAAGGUCAUCCUCCGCUGUAUACGGAGUUCAAGGCCAGCCUGGGCUUCGUGAGCCCUUGUCUCAAUACAACAAAAAGUAUCAUUUUAUUUGGCUUACUUUAUUCUUUGAAAGGUAUUUCAACCCUCUUAGGGAUACAAUUAUUCACUUUAUUGACUCAGAAAAUGCCUCUAUAAGUGUGUUACUGCCAUGUUUAUAUUACAGUACUUAGGAUGUUUGACACUGGGAUUCUGGUGGCAGAAAAGUAGUAUCUGAUGAAGUGUGUGUGUGUGUGUGAGAGAGAGAGAGAGAGAGAGUGACAGAGAGUGAGAGAGAGAGAGAGUGUGUGUGUGUGUGUGUGUGAGUGAAAUGUAUUAUUUCUUAAAUGUAUUAUUUCAGUGGAAGCUCAGAAAAUGAGUAUCUCUGUUUAGCAGGUAAACAAUUUGAAUCAGUUUUGCAUUUGCCUCUGAAAGCUUUGUAAUUGACCGUAUCAGGCAUGCAGUUAGGUCUCCAUGUCCAUGGAAGGGACUCCACAUUGACCAAGUAUUUAACAGAACCUUGACAUCAGUUUUAUUGUUAUGUGUUUAAUUUUGAAAAGGUUAUGUUAGACCAAACGAGAUCUUUAGAUCCCAUUCUUCAUUCUAACAAUGUUUCUGAAGUGGUGCUGAGGAUUUUUCUGGAUUUUUCUGGCUCUUGGCUAGUCAAGCUUUAGGUUUCGUUUACCUGGGACCACGUGUUCAUCAUCGCUCUGGUGCAAAUUAGGGAGUUCAUGUUCACUUAGAGUAACUUCAGUGUCUGCCUGGGCUCUUACCAGGCUGGGAACCAGUGAGUGCCUUGUUAGUGUAGAGUGAUCUUUCCCGUUGUCCGUUAGGUCUUUCUGAGAGGGUCUCAGAGACUGAGCUUUGAGUUGGCUGGGCGAGCUGCUGAGAUUGGUGAUACAGCAUUGGGAAGUCUUUGGUCUGCCAUGUCCACUCUCCCUGCUUUCUCUUCAUCCUUUGGCUGGUGUUGGCCCCUUGUGAGAAAACAAAUAGAGCCCCCUUCACGCUAUUUUUAUUUCCGCUUAAGGCGUGUCCCCCAUUCCCGCCCCAGCUAUAUGAUCCAAUGCCUGUUUUAGGAAGAACCACUUCUUUGUAAUAUGAAAAUCUACCACUUAUUUUAUGUCUUCUCAAUAUCAGUUUACUGGAGCGGAUCUCAGGGUAUCAUCAGUUCAGAUUCCUAAAUAACACUUUCUCUUCAACCCAAACCCCAACUGGUGAGCCCUGGGCCAGAUUGUUUGAUAUCAGGUAUCUUAAACUUCAGUUAUAAUAUCAAUUAAUGUAAAUCCAAAUGCAAAUUUGUGUGGUGCAAGAAGUUUCUUUUGUAAAUUCAGGGUAUGGAUAAGCUAAUAAUGAUAUCCAGUUCUGGUGGCUCUAAGUGUAUUAUUUGUUUUUAAAUAAAGUGUACAAAUAUAGU
rnacentral:lncRNA from 1 species